rnacentral:tRNA from 1 species
CGGGGCGUAGCUCAGUCUGGUUAGAGCGCGUGGUUUGGGACCACGAGGUCGCAAGUUCGAAUCUUGUCGCCCCGA